ACGGAGGAUGCAAGCGUUAUCCGGAAUCAUUGGGCUUAAAGCGUGCGCAGGCGGAAAGAUAAGUCUGUGUUUAAAUUUCAGGGCUCAACCCCGUAAUGGAUUUGAAACUGGUUGACUUGAGUACAGUUGAAGUAAGCGGAAUUCCCACUGUAGCGGUGAAAUGCGUAGAUAUGGCACGGAACACCAAUGGCGAAGGCGGCUUACUGGGUUGUAACUGACACUGAGGCGCGAAAGCGAGGGGAGCAAACGG
rnacentral:rRNA from 1 species